rnacentral:rRNA from 1 species
ACGAACGCUGGCGGCGUGCCUAAUACAUGCAAGUAGAACGCACAGUUUAUACCGUAGCUUGCUACACCAUAAACUGUGAGUUGCGAACGGGUGAGUAACGCGUAGGUAACCUGCCUGGUAGCGGGGGAUAACUAUUGGAAACGAUAGCUAAUACCGCAUAAUAUUGAUUAUUGCAUGAUAAUUGAUUGAAAGAUGCUAUUGCAUCACUACCAGAUGGACCUGCGUUGUAUUAGCUAGUAGGUGAGGUAACGGCUCACCUAGGCGACGAUACAUAGCCGACCUGAGAGGGUGAUCGGCCACACUGGGACUGAGACACGGCCCAGACUCCUACGGGAGGCAGCAGUAGGGAAUCUUCGGCAAUGGACGAAAGUCUGACCGAGCAACGCCGCGUGAGUGAAGAAGGUUGUCGGAUCGUAAAGCUCUGUUGUAAGAGAAGAACGGGUGUGAGAGUGGAAAGUUCACACUGUGACGGUAUCUUACCAGAAAGGGACGGCUAACUACGUG